rnacentral:rRNA from 1 species
AAUGAACGUUGGCGGCAUGGAUUAGGCAUGCAAGUCGAGCGGUAAGGCCCCGCAAGGGGUACACGAGCGGCGUAAGGGACAGUAAUGUGUAGGUACGUACCUCCGGGCCUGGGAUAGCAGUGGGAAACUGCAAUUAAUACCAGAUGAUGUCUCCGGACCAAAGGUGUGAUUCCGCCGGGAGAGCGGCCUACAUCCUAUUAGCUAGUUGGCGGGGUAACGGCCCACCAAGGCUCUGAUGGGUAGCAGGUGUGAGAGCACGACCUGCGUCACUGGGACUGAGACACUGCCCAGACACCUACGGGUGGCUGCAGUCGAGAAUCUUCGGCAAUGAGCGCAAGCUUGACCGAGCAAUGCCGCGUGCGGGAAGAAGGCCUUCGGGUUGUAAACCGCUGUCAGAGGGAACGAAAUGCCAGUGGGUACUCUCAUUGGUUUGACUGAUCCUCAAAGGAAGGGUGGGCUAAGUUCGUGCCAGCCGCCGCAGUAACAC